GUCCCAGACUCCUACGGGAGGCAGCAGUGGGGAAUAUUGCACAAUGGGGGAAACCCUGAUGCAGCGACGCCGCGUGAGCGAUGAAGUAUUUCGGUCUGUAAGGCUCUAUCAGCAGGGAAGAAAAUGACGGUACCUGACUAAGAAGCCCCGACUAACUACGUGCCAGCAGCCGCGGUAAUACGUAGGGGGCAAGCGUUAUCCGGAUUUACUGGGUGUAAAGGGAGCGUAGACGGCAUGGCAAGCCAGAUGUGAAAUACCGGGGCUCAACCCCGGGACUGCAUUUGGAACUGCGCGGCUGGAGUGCAGGAGGGGCAGGCGGAAUUCCUGGUGUAGCGGUGAAAUGCGUAGAUAUCAGGAGGAACACCGGUGGCGAAGGCGGCCUGCUGGACUGCGACUGACGUUGAGGCCCGAAGGCGUGGGGAGCAAACAGGAUUAGAUACCCCAGUACGC
rnacentral:rRNA from 1 species